UGAAGAGAGCCUUAGAAGGGAGUUGUCAAGAGAGUUACUGAUAUGCUAUGUUUUCAUGACCAUCGUGGAGGAGGAGCAGGAGGAUGCUUUGCCCUCAUUUCAGGCUAAGAGAAAGUGACUUAGUGGUGCUGCUUGGCCAGCCCAAUAUGUGUUUCCUGUAUUGGAGGAUCCUAGGGAAGGUCUAUGACUCAUUCCUGAAAAUUCUAACAUCAAGAGUCCGUGGUAGAGCCACUCUUGCCUGGUAGCAGAACGGAGUAAUUUAAAAAGCCACAAAAUCUCUCCAGUUUAUGUUUAAUUCCGUUUUUCCAAGGACAGAGAGACGAUACAGUUCUGCUCUCAUGGAUGUGGUUUUAGUUUAUAAAACUUCUUUGCCAUGGAUGAAAAGAUUGAUAAGGUGACCUCCAUGUCUCAGCCCAUUGUGUUAUCUGAGCAUGUGUGGUUGACAACUUCUUGGGGAAAAGGAAUCAUGGCUGACAUACACCAGAAGAACUGCUCAUGCACCAAAGGGCACGGGGAGAGUCUUAAGCAGACUGUGGACUGGGAGUGGAGCCCCAUGUCGGACUUGAUCUCACGACCCUGAGAGCGCGACCUGAGCCAAAACCAAGAGUCAGGUGCUUAAGCGAUUGCACCACCCAGGUGCCCGAGGCAGGGUAUAUUUUGUAACCAUCUCUGUGUCUCCAGUACUUUGAGGGGUGCUCAGGGAAUGAAUAUUCUUGAAUAAAGGAAUCUUAGGGACAGUUUUUUUGAUGCAGUGGUCAUCCUGAUGACUUCCAGACCCAACUAGGAAAGUUCAAUAACUAUUGUGAAGUCAAUGUCUAGAGCUAUUUUUCAGAGGCACAGGAAGGCAUGCGUGCUUUAACUUGGUUCACCAUGCAUAUUGAAAUGCGCAGGCUGCUUUUGCCUGACUCAGUUCUCUUGUGCCAUCUGCUGGGACGAGCAUUUCAUGGCACACCAAAGUGAGAUAAGCAAUGAAGACAAGUCUGAAAGCUUUGUGGGAGAAACAGCAGACAAUCCCCUGGGCAGCCUUGCAGUUUCGUUGGGGAAACAAGUGUUGUGCCCAAGCCACCGUCUGUUUGCUGCUAAUCUUUAGUAGUUUCCCAAGACAAAUAUCCCUUUCUACCGGUUUUCAUGUAGACGAUCUUAAAUCCCUGUAUUCUCCAUCAGGUUUUGCAACAAUCCAGUGAUACCAGCCGCUAUUAUUGUCACUGGUUUUGAAACUCAGAUAGGGAAGCACAGAGUUUUAAGUAAAAUGCCAGUUCUGAGCAGUGAACAAGUGGCCGAGGAAGCACUGAAGUCUGUUUUACUCCCAGUUGCACAAAACAUUUCAAACACAGUAAGAGAGAGGUCAAGAGUGGCAGAGAUAAGCUGCUUAGCCUUAGCAUGGACAGGGCGGUGGAGCAGAGAAGGCUGGCUUGCUCGGUAUGUGCACUUCAAAUGCCAAGUAUUGGUAGGGGGUGGUUAAGGGGGCGGCGAAGGGGGAGCUGCAGCAGCAACUUUCCUGCAUCGUCCAUUCCCCAGGGACAACUCAAGGUGAUGUCCCCGAGGGAAAAUUUUUUAGAAUUCUAUGAAAAUUGUUAGAGCUUGCACCAAGAUGGUACCUAAAGUCUUUGGUGAACAUUGUCAAACAAAAUAGACACUGCUAUUUUGGUUAACAUAUAUGGUUAAAACAAAGAAACUAGCAGACCAUCCUUUUAUCAUUUAAGCUUGUUAUUCUUAUAUUAAAUACAUAUUGCAUAAAUCCACAAAUAUACUCUUGACAUUAAAAGACCCAAACAUUCAGGGAAAGCUAAAAGUCUCCUUUGCUUUUCCCAAAGAUACCGCAGUUAGUGGUAUGCUUACAGAUCUUUUUCUGUGUGUUUAUUAUACACACAUGGUUCCUACGGGAACGUAGAAUAUGGUUUAAUGUUUUGUCCACCUAUAUGAAUGAUAUCUUGCUGGACUGCCCUGUCCUGCCAUCUCCAACCGAGGGCCAUACACUCUCCUGACCCAUUGGGAUGUGCAGUUGGGUUUCCAUGAGGCUCCUCCUGGGGCGCCCUAUCUAACUGCCCAAUAACAGCCAUCCUCUGCCCCGCUCCUGUCCUCCCCACAUCACGCCUCCAGGCUGGCUGCUCUCUGCAGCUCAUAUCCAGCUUUUUUUUUUUAUUGUGGCAAAUAUACAUAACAUAAAUUUUUACUAUCUUAACCAUUUUUAGGCAUUCAGUUCAGUGACAUUAAGUACAUUCACAUUGUUGUGUAACGGUCAACACCAUCCAUCUUCAGAAUGUUUUCAUCUCCCCAACUCUGCAGCUGUGAAACACUAGUUCCCCAUUUUCUUUCCCCCAGCCCCUGGCCACCAUCUUCCUACUUUCUGCCUCUAUGAAUUAGAUGAUGCCAGGUAGCUCAUAUAAGUGGAAUCAUAUGGUAUUUGUCUUUAUGACUGGCCUAUGUGGCUUAGCAUUGUGUCCUCAAGGUUCAUCCAUGUCAUAGCAUGUGUCAGAAUUCCUUUCUAUUUUGAAACUCAGUAUUAUUUCAUUGUAUGUAUAGACCACACUUUGUUUACCUAUUCAUCCACUGAUGGACAUUUAGGGUGUUUCUUCUUCUUGGCUAUUGUGAAUAAAGCUGCUAUGGACAAUUUAGAAAAUAUUAUUUUAUACAGCAAAUUCACAACCUUAUACGAACUAGUUUUGUGUGUUUUCUUCUUUGCAACCACAUAAUCCCAGAUGAAUAUACCUUCAAUCUUGUCAAAGCUCCUGAAGACCAAACUGUAAUAAUCUUAUUUAUAAAAAUAAAUUAAACCAAGUUGGGCAUAUUGCCUAGGAAAUUUGUAUGACAUAAUUGUAAGAAGAAUACUGUCCGUUGAUACAUUUGACUAUUGAUUUCUACCAGUCACAAUGAGAAAUUGGGGAUGAAAAUGUGUGGGUAUUUUGUAAGGUUUGGACUAGAGCCAGUGAUGUGACAAACUGGAAUUCUCAAUUUGUAAGAAUGCUAUCCUUGGGUUUGUUGAAUCUUUUAGGUCUUUCCUGACCCUUCCACAACUAGAGGACAGAGAAUAUAAUAAGGGACAUUGUUCUUCCCUCUCAGGACAUUGGCUUAUUUUAUGUAUCUCUGGAAUCAUGAAGAGAGCACAGAUUGGGGAUUAGGCAAUUUUAAAUCAGAACAGUCACUUUACCGUAUCUUGACACAUGUAAACAUAGGCAAGUUCCUUAAUUUUUCCUAACUUACAGUUCCCUUAAAUGAUGAAAGUAAAUGCACAUCUUCUAAGUUCUGCUGAGAAGAGUAAAUGAACUGACAUAUGCAAAGCACCUCACAUUCCUGAGUCAGAGGGUACAUAACAAAAAGUAGCUGCCUUUGUGAUCAAUCUUAUUCAUCAGUUUGAGAUACAGAUUUAUUUUAAUAUUUAACUUAAAUCAUUCUAUUAUCCUGUCCUAGUUAGAGUGAAAAUGCAUUUUUUCUUUUCCUGCUAUCCUCUUUUCUGUGAUAACUCCCAGCAGGGGUACUCCAUGAUUCCUGUCUACUGUCAUCUCCAGCAGAGAAAAUGGGAAAAUCAGUGUCCAGGAUUUUUGGCUGCUGUUGCUGGUCCUGCCACACAGUGUCGCUGUUGAAGCAGACAACUUUGUCACGGGGUGCCAUCCUCCUGGCUCAAGCCCAGUGAUGUUAGGGAAGGGGGAAUGGAACAUAGUGAUCUGAGAGCAGCUCUUGUAUCUCAUCUCAGCAUGCUGCAGAGAUCACCUCUAUGUAUGUACUUGUUGUGAUCCAAGCAAAGUUAUAAGACCACUGUGUGUGCAGGAGACAACUUCACCCCUGUACAUCCUGCCCAUGGCUGGGGCUCAGUCUUGCUGCCUGUUUACUUCUCAGGUCUUUGGGUGAUACAGCUAGAAACUCCACAAUAGAUGGCUUUUUUGCAUGUGAAUGGUUACCACCAUGCUCAAAUAAUUAGCAUCUUCUCUCUGGCAGUAUUGACUGGCAGGUUCCUGCUUCAAAGAGGCCCUUGUAGGACAGCCAGCUGUGACCCAAGGUUGGAAUACCCGUCUUUGGGUGCAUCUUUGCACAGAUGAGUUCCUUGGGCCUGGCUGCUUCUGUCCACACUCACACGAAAUGGGCAGGAAUCAGGAGGCAGAUAGUGCUGAAGAAAUGCUGGAUGUAUACCAGUUGCUGACUCCUGUCACUAAAGCCAGAUCUCAGGUCUUUAAAUGUAUCAAGGGUGCCCACCGUGGAAAAGGCAUUCAUGAAGAGAUACCCAAGAUAAAUAGUCUCGUCCAGAAAGCAGGUUGCUAAACUGUGUGUACAAUAUGAUUCCAUUUCCCCCUAUUUUUUUGCACUUCUCUGUUGUCUGAAUUUAUUUUUAUAAAGUGUGUGCAUUACUUUUGCAUAUAGCAAAAAUGAUAAAGAUUAACAAACAUACUCUAUUCUGCUGGCAUAUUGGUCAGGAAUAGAGCCAUCCCCUAAAGAAGAAGUAGGGAGUACUGUGGCAUCUUUAUAAGAAUUGUUUUUGGAGAAAUUGGGAAACCUGUACUAUCAAUUUUAAAGUGAUGAGCAUAAAAUAAAAUCCACAAGGUAAUGUAAAAGUAUAUCUUCUUUCCUUAAAAGGUUUCUUAUAAAGGGCACCGGGGUGGCUCAGUCGGUUAGGCAUCUGACUCUUGAUCUCAGCUCAGUUCUUGAUCUCAGGGUCAUGAGUUCAAGCCCUGUGCUGAGCUCCAUGCUGGGUGUGGAGCUUACUUAAAAAAAAAAAAAAGGAUUCUAAAAAGAUCAAAACAAUAUCAAAUUCUUACAGUAACCAUACCCUAAGGACAACAGCAGAACCAGUUGAGAGCAGACAGUGUUUCUGCUUACUUGUAGCCUAGAGAAAUUUCUUUGUUUUCUCUGCAUGCAGGCUUCCUUUUUCUGUUCUUACUUUUGAUCAAGUGGUUGGUGACUAUAUUCUUUCCAUUUGAUUAUGUCUCUAUGAUGCAUAGUGUCUGAGUAGCAUGCAUCAUUCACUUAGAGAUUAGAAACUGAGUAAAUGAGGAAAAUUGACAUUUAAAUGUCUAUAAUGUACUGAGCAUUGGACCAGUGGUUUCACUGUUCUCAUGGUCUAAUGGCUUUGAGUCCAAAGGGGUUUAAGAGAAAAUCCAAAGAUCUAACCUUUUUUCCCCCAGUUCAGUUUUCUAAAAUAGGGUUUAUUUAUUUAUUUAUUGAUCUAUUUUUAAAUAAAAUAUUUUAUUUAUUCAUGAGAGACACAC